rnacentral:rRNA from 1 species
GACGAACGCUGGCGGCGUGCUUAACACAUGCAAGUCGAACGGAAAGGCCCUGCUUUUGUGGGGUGCUCGAGUGGCGAACGGGUGAGUAACACGUGAGUAACAUGCCCUUGACUUUGGGAUAACUUCAGGAAACUGGGGCUAAUACCGGAUAGGAGCUCCUGCUGCAUGGUGGGGGUUGGAAAGUUUCGGCGGUUGGGGAUGGACUCGCGGCUUAUCAGCUUGUUGGUGGGGUAGUGGCUUACCAAGGCUUUGACGGGUAGCCGGCCUGAGAGGGUGACCGGCCACAUUGGGACUGAGAUACGGCCCAGACUCCAACGGGAGGCAGCAGUGGGGAAUAUUGCACAAUGGGCGGAAGCCUGAUGCAGCAACGCCGCGUGCGGGAUGACGGCCUUCGGGUUGUAAACCGCUUUCGCCUGUGAUGAAGCGUGAGUGACGGUAAUGGGUAAAGAAGCACCGGCUAACUACGUG